GACGAACGCUGGCGGCGUGCUUAACACAUGCAAGUCGAACGGAAAGGCCCUGCUUUUGUGGGGUGCUCGAGUGGCGAACGGGUGAGUAACACGUGAGUAACCUUCCCUUGACUUUGGGAUAACUUCAGGAAACUGGGGCUAAUACCGGAUAGGAGCUCCUGCUGCAUGGUGGGGGUUGGAAAGUUUCGGCGGUUGGGGAUGGACUCGCGGCUUAUCAGCUUGUUGGUGGGGUAGUGGCUUACCAAGGCUUUGACGGGUAGCCGGCCUGAGAGGGUGACCGGCCACAUUGGGACUGAGAUACGGCCCAGACUCCUACGGGAGGCAGCAGUGGGGAAUAUUGCACAAUGGGCGGAAGCCUGAUGCAGCAACGCCGCGUGCGGGAUGACGGCCUUCGGGUUGUAAACCGCUUUCGCCUGUGACGAAGCGUGAGUGUCGGUAAUGGGUAAAGAAGCACCGGCUAACUACGUG
rnacentral:rRNA from 1 species